AGUGAACGCUGGCGGUAGGCCUAACACAUGCAAGUCGAACGGCAGCACAGUAAGAGCUUGCUCUUACGGGUGGCGAGUGGCGGACGGGUGAGGAAUACAUCGGAAUCUACUUUUUCGUGGGGGAUAACGUAGGGAAACUUACGCUAAUACCGCAUACGACCUACGGGUGAAAGCAGGGGAUCUUCGGACCUUGCGCGAUUGAAUGAGCCGAUGUCGGAUUAGCUAGUUGGCGGGGUAAAGGCCCACCAAGGCGACGAUCCGUAGCUGGUCUGAGAGGAUGAUCAGCCACACUGGAACUGAGACACGGUCCAGACUCUUACGGGAGGCAGCAGUGGGGAAUAUUGGACAAUGGGCGCAAGCCUGAUCCAGCCAUACCGCGUGGGUGAAGAAGGCCUUCGGGUUGUAAAGCCCUUUUGUUGGGAAAGAAAAGCAGCAGGUUAAUACCCCGCUGUUCUGACGGUACCCAAAGAAUAAGCACCGGCUAACUUCGU
rnacentral:rRNA from 1 species